CUUCCCAGCACUUCCUUUCCCAGCUCUUCUCUGGCCCCAUCCUGUAUCAUUGCCAACUCAUAGACACCCUCCCUGGCUUUGAUUGGAGCACCCUGGUGAGGCCCAGGCUUGGCUGAGCAGCCUGCUGGCUCCCCCACCAGCUGCACCUGUCUGUAGGAGCACGCUGGUAGCAUACGGAGCAGCUGCUUGCUCUCCUGCUGCCUGCAGAUUCCCCGGCUGUGUCUUGUUACUUCCCUGCAACUCCUCAGUGCCCAGGCAGAUGUCUGGCUCGUGAUCGGUUCCCGAGCUUUGCUGCUGGAAGCCUCCUCAAUGGCUAGGGUCCUAGGAGCCUCAGCUUCUAUAACUGGCUCCAAGUAAUCAGGCCAGAAAAUGGAUCCAGCCAUUGGUUUUCCAGAGAGAGGACUGAGAGGAUGCCCACCGGGUUCUGAUGCACAGUAGGAAAUGAGAUGAAUGCACGGUACUCUCCUGUACUAAUCUGAUGGGGGACUGGUUUGAGUGAUAAGUGGAUUUUGCAGCAGGGACACAACAUGCUUUAGUGCACCUUCUCGUUCUUCCCUAGACCCAGGAGAAAGAGAAAAAUGGGAAUGAAAGGCAAAGAGGGACGUAAAGAGAGAUUAUUUCUCUCUACCAGAGUUCCACAACUGCUGGCCAGGGAGGAGGGUCAGGUCAGAGAAGGCACUGCCCUGCCAUCCACCCCGGCUGUGUGUACCUGUUGCCUCAGGCUGUCCUACAGAGAGGCAAUGGCCCUCUCUUUCUCCUGAGUAAAAGGCUCAGCUGGUGCGGGCUGACUGUUUUCGGGCAUUGUCAGGAAAGCAGGAGUCUGGCAGCUUAAACCUGGUUGGUAUGACCAGACACAUUGAGGGAUGGAGCCUUUUCAAAGCCUGUUGCUCAAAGCCAGCCACCUACUCACACACAUUUCAAACAUAGCCCCGGGCCCUAAUUCAAACUGCAGCAUUUCACUCAGUUCUCAGCAUCAGAUAAGGCCAACAGGCUUCCACUCCUUCAGAAGACACCCAGGGGUCCAAGGUAAAUCUCGUUCCAAAGUGAUUUUUGCCUGGAAGGGCCUAAGCCCCACCCAGGAUGGGGACGACCCUCACUCUGGGUUAGGACAUGGGCUCUUUGCACCUCACCUGACUGCUAACCCCUCAGGUUCUUCCUCAGGGCUGGCAAUGGCCCUGGGAUGGACCUGGAUUCGGCUCUGACUCUUACUACUUGCAUGAUCACGGGCAGUUACAUUACCAGAGGCAGAUUCAGCACCACCCAGCCCACCAGAGCAAAACCCAUAGGCCUUCCAAAGUGCUGUAAUCCUAGCACUUUGGAAGGCCAAAAUGGGAGGAUCACUUGAGGCCAGGAGUUUGAGACUAGCCUGGAAAAUAUAGAAAGAUCCCAUCUCUGAAAAAAAAAAAAAACAAACAAACAAAAGAAAAAAGUUAUCUGGGCUUGUAGUAAAAAGUAGAAAAAAGUUAGCUUUGCCUGUAGUCUCAGCUACUUGGGAGGCUGAGGUGGGAGGACUGCUUGAGCCCGGGAGGCAAAAGUUGUGGUGAGCUGAGACCGCAUCACUGCAUGCCAGCCCAAAUGACAGAGCAAGACUCUUUCUCAAAACAAAACAAAACCUAUAGGCCUUGUCCAUCAUUGGCAAUUAGUUAGGAAAUGUAAGUGCAUCCACUAUGCAAGAAACUGAUCACAUUGGUCACCUCCUGGAUGGGGAUCUAGAUGGAUAGCCAAUAGAGGCAGAAAGAAAAAUUUUCCAUUCUUUGCCCUUUUGAAUUUGAACUAUAUGAAUAUAUUCUCUAUCCACUAAAAACGUUUAAAGUUUUUAAGAAGUCAAAUAACAUCAAUAGGAUUCAGUGAUUGACAGGGGCAGGCAGGGAGGGGACGGACAGACAGAUGUGAAGGAUGAGUCUGUGUUGCUAGGCUGGGUGACUGGAUUCACCAAAAUACAGACUACAGGAAGAAGAGGGUUUGGGGGAAGGAAAAUACAUUCAACCUUGGGUUGUUGAGGUAGAAAUGCCAGAAAUAGUUAAAUGGAGAUUUCAGCAAGAAAUUGAAGAUGUGUCAAGUUCUCAAGAGAUGCUGUGGUAUUGAAAAUGUAGAUUUGGGGUCAUCAUUUCAGAAGGUGCAUUUGAAGGCACAGAAUGGAUGAUAGACUCAUCUUUCAGAUGAGAAGGACAGAAACUGGCCAGGUGCACUGGCUCCCACCUGUAAUCCCAGUACUUUGGGAGGCUGAGGUGGGAGGAUCCCUUGAGGCUGGGAGUUCAAGACAAGUGUGGGCAACAUAGUGAGACUCCUGCUGUCUCUACAAAAAAUAAUGAGAAAAAUGUUUAAGGGGGGCAAAAACCAAACUAAAUCUACUUUAAAGAAGUAAAACGGGGAGAUGAGUUUAUUAGAAUAUGUUAUUGUGAAAUCAAAGGGAUGGCACAGAUAUGGUCAAAUCUGCAGAUUCAAAAAAACAUCAUCAGAAUUCUGAGGGGAAAAAUUCAAGAUUGAAAAAGAGAGAUUGUUCUUUAGCCCUAGUCCCAAGCCAUGAAGAAGCCACACAAGCAGUUUUAAAGCCACCAUUAUCAUUCAGUGACCAGAGACUUCAGUGCCACUCCCCUCUUCAGAAAAUCAGCAACAACUCACUCAGCUAACCCCCAAAAUCCAAGCUUAACAAAAACUCUCUAUGAGAUCAGCAUUUGCUUGGUUCAGAGAGAAAGUGAUCUGAAAACGGAUUCUCUUUGGCUGUGCAAGUAACAAGUUCAGUACAAACGUAUAAAGAGCGAGAGAGAGAAUGAUAUGCUCUCUUACAACAAUUCUGCUUCUCCUUGUCCUUUCAGCUCAGCUUGCCUCUGCUUGUCUUAAUUUACAUACAAGCUCUAGCCACUUGUGACCAAGCUGUUCCCUGGCUUCUUAAACCACCUGAUCCCAGAAAUCCUGAUCUAUAGGAAAAGACACAGGGAGGAUUCUAUUUAGACCAGUUUAGAUCAUAUGCCCAACACUUAACAAAUAAUGCUGGAAAGGAGGAUAGAGAUCAUGGUGGAAAAGACGAUAGAGACCACGCUUGGCCAAACCCGGGUCAGAUACCCUGCUGGCUGUCCUCCACUUGCCAUCCCCCAGAUCAGCUCUCCAGCCUUCUACACCCCACUCAGUGCUGCUGACUUCAAUGACAGUGUUGCUACUGCCCUCCAGCCUGGGCAACAGCGCAAGACCCUGCCUCAAAAAAAAAAAGAAAGAAAGAAAAGAAAUAUACAAUAAAGUAUUGCUAACUAUA
rnacentral:lncRNA from 1 species